UGUCGGUUCAUCGCUCGUCGGUGUCUAACUGGCAUGAUUCGUGGGACGUCCUGCCGGUGGUGGCGAGUCGAAAGCGUGCACCCGUUGUGAUUCUCACUUCGGUUCUUGCGCGCCGGAGGCGGACCCCGAUGAAAUCCUACCGCGGUGCUCUUCGCCGAGUGUCGAGGUGGGCCGGCACGUUUACUUUGAACAAAUUAGAGUGCUUAAAGCA
rnacentral:rRNA from 1 species